GGGACACUGUCGUCCACAAGAGGUUAAAUGCUGAAGGUAGAAGUGAUUCUCACGCCUACUGAUCACCCAGUAGGAUCUGCUGCUGUGUUAAAUCAGAAAAAGACAGAGACUGCACAGACUGGAAGAUCAAUUACAUUAGAAUGUGAAGUCCUUGGGUACAACAUCAAUGAUCACCACAUGCACUGGAUUAGACAAUAUCCUGGCAGAGCAACUAUGGAAUGGAUAGCCGCUUUUAGAACAGGGUGUGUUGUCAGAUCCACAACUUACACAACCCAGCUCAGAGUUGAAAAAGCCUGGAGAGAGUGUAAAAUUACCAUGUACAGCUUCUGGAUACACAUUUACCAGCUAUGCUAUAUUCUGGAUCCAACAGACUCCAAAUAA